UAAAAUAGCUGUAGAAAAGUU
rnacentral:piRNA from 1 species